AUACGUAGGGGGCAAGCGUUGUCCGGAAUUACUGGCCGUAAAGAGCUCGUAGGCGGCUCAGCAAGUCGGUCGUGAAAGCCCGAGGCUCAACCUCGGAACUGCGGUCGAUACUGCUGUGGCUAGAGUCCGGUAGAGGAGAGUGGAAUUCCCGGUGUAGCGGUGGAAUGCGCAGAUAUCGGGAGGAACACCAGUGGCGAAGGCGGCUCUCUGGGCCGGUACUGACGCUGAGGAGCGAAAGCGUGGGGAGCAAACAGGAUUAGAAACCCUAGUAGUCC
rnacentral:rRNA from 1 species